UAUGCUGGCCGCGGGGCCCGAGGGGCGGCCGGCCCGUGUCCCCGGCGCGGAGCUGGGCGAGCGGGCGGGUGGGCUCCCCUCGGCCGGCCGCGCUCGCCGCCGCCUUCCCCUGCACGCACGCACUUCGCGGAACAAGCAGGAGCUGGAGUCACCCGCGCCUGUCUGCUGGGAAGGUUUCUUCUAGAAAAAUCCUGAGUGUUUUCAACUUGUUAUCCCACCGAUCGCUCGGUGCCAAGUCGCAAAUGAAAUUGCUCAAGAUAAACACUCGGUGAGUUUCUUCUCCCACUUAGACGGGGCUCGUUGGUGUCACAGUCUGCGCUGCUCUGCAGGAACAAGGAGCUUCCAAUGCUUUAUGUGCCCGACCAGCGCGUGGGGAACUCGCUCUGAGCAUCCUCAUCCCUGCACGCGAUGGGCCUGUGCCACCAUGAGAGCCCACGCGCCUGUACAUCCAGACAUCAAAGAGAAGGUGUCUGUAACGGAAGGAAUUGGGACUUUAUUUGCGGGUGCACCCCGAGCUGGUCACCCCCCGGGCAGCAGGAAGGGACCAGGCAGAGGAUGCAGGGCGCUGUGUGAAGACACUGCUUUCCCACUCGUGAUCUUCACCUCAAAAACAUCUUCCUCUUUUCUUUUUUCCCCAAACCCAAACAACUCAGGACUGGGUUUGUCAUUUGAUCAAGUGAAUUCAGUACACAACUCUGAAGAUUUUUCCUAACACUGCAUCACAUUUGAAUGGAUGUUUAGUGGCAAUUUUCUGGUUUCUUAACAUUUGACAGAAACUAUUGAGUUUAUUAAUGUCACAAUAAAGGUUUAUGGUUCUAUCCUA